rnacentral:misc_RNA from 1 species
GAAAUGCGCUAAGUAAUGUGAAUUGCAGAAUUCAGUGAAUCAUCGAAUCUUUGAACGCACAUUGCGCCCGCCAGUAUUCUGGCGGGCAUGCCUGUCCGAGCGUCAUUUCAACCAUCAAGCCCCCGGGCUUGUGUUGGGGACCUGCGGCUGCCCGCAGGCCCUGAAAACCAGUGGCGGGCUCGCUGUCACACCGAGCGUAGUAGCAAUCACCUCGCUCAGGGCGUGCUGCGGGUUCCGGCCGUUAAACAGCCUUACAAAACCCAAGGUUGACCUCGGAUCAGGUAGGAAGACCCGCUGAACUUAAGC